GGAUAGACAUAAGCAGGAAAAGGCUGGUUUGCUGAGGCAAUACUUGGGGAAGAGGGGUAGUUGAAGGAGAAGCUGGUUAAGGCACUACAGCUGGCCUAAACUGCAACAUCAGCUCCGAGGAGGAGAACUGGGCGGGAGGGCCUUCCUGUCUUAAAGCGGAAAACCAGAGAGACUGUUCAAAAUAGAGCUCAGCUGCCAGAGAGCUUUGUGGAAGCUUCUCAGUAGACAGCAGGGAAGAGGCUGUGAGAAGCCACAAAUCCAGUGUGGGAAUAGCAGUCUGCAGACCUGGUGAAGACCCUGGCAAACUGGGCAAAGUAGAAUAAGCCCAGGGAAGAGAUUGAAGGAAGAGUCCUUAGCUACCUAAAGCAGGGUUCCUGGGCUGGAACCCAGGUGAGAGGAUGUUAACCCCAGAAGGGAACUGGACUGACAGGUGACCUAGCUGAAGGGCUAGACGAUGGAAGUAGCAGAUCACUCGGAACAAGGGGUGCUGGAGUGGAGGAACCCCUGCAAUGCUGUGUCCUGAACCAACCGGGUGCUCUGGUGGAGGGGAAGGUGUGAGUGCAUACCUCUGUGUAAAGGCAUAGGUCAUUAGGCCCUUGAGCCUUGAGACCUCCCAUGAAGGCCAAUGGAAUCUGAAAGUAAAUAGCCUAAACUCACUUCAAAGGUAGGUGCAGCCUAUUUACAGCAUCUGACAAAGGUCAUUCUGUGUGUGACCCUUCCAAGGCUCUACGGUUGACCUGAGUCUUUGCCCUGCCUGAAGAAUCUAAAUCAUCUGGGCUGAACACGUUGUGAGCUGGUUGCAUGCAGUGCCUGGAUUUGGGAAACAGCUGGACAAUGGCAUCUACAUAUAGUAUAGGUAAGAGGUCUCAAGAACCCUUAGUGGUGUCUUCCAUGCUUCUCUUGGACAUUUUGACUCUUAAUGUCCAGUAUAUGCCAAGCUAUAAGCAAUCAGAUUAGCUGAAAGAAGCAGUAAGUACACACAUGUGGCACUUGUUUGAGGAAACUGCUGGGAAAUGGAAAUAUGGACUUUGAGACACAAAAAGCAGCUCUGGUACAUGAGCUCAAGGAGAAUAUCCCUUAACUGGUAGCAGUUGUAGCACCUUACAUUAUCCCUUCAGGCCUGUGACCACUAGCAGGCGAGACGAUUGCAAACCAAAAGCAAGAAAAGCCCAGUAACAUGGAAAUUUGUCGUGUCCAAUAAAGCAGCAACCUAUCUCCCUCUCUGGCUCUGAAAACCCUCUACAUCUCAGGGGCGCUCGACUCCCAUUUAGGCACCUGAAUAAAAGCAGACAUUCAAAAUUG